rnacentral:miRNA from 1 species
AUUUUUUACUGCUAGCAUAAGAACGUUAUUGCCUAUGUGAUUUUUAGUACUAAGAAUCACAUAGGCAAUAACGUUCUUAUGCUAGCAGUAAAAAAU